AACAAUAACUCAAGUAACAUUAUGAUAUCAUAUUCAAGUGAACAAAAACAACAAUUUUUCCUUUUUAUUUUGCUUAAUGGUAUCAUUGGGGGUCCAUAGGGGUGUCCCACUACGCGUGAACCUAAUAUUUAAACUUGUCAACUAACUAGACGUCCUCAUACACCGUCCGAUAUGAGUGCCAAAAAUAUCAUCCCUCGAUACUCCGUCCGAUAUGAGCACAAAAAAUAUCAUCCCUCGAUACCCCGUCCGGUAUGAGGUAACGUUCACUGUAUGAUUCCCUACCCAGUUCGUCUAUCAUCUCACAGAAUAUCCAAUAAGACAACCAUUCAUUAAUUCACAUAACCAAGCAAUUUCUCAUUUGCAUAUUAAUUUCAAAUUUCACAAAUCAACCGUAAAUCACGGAAGACAAA
rnacentral:lncRNA from 1 species